UACGUAGGGGGCAAGCGUUGUCCGGAUUUAUUGGGCGUAAAGAGCGUGUAGGCGGCCAGGUAGGUCCGUUGUGAAAACUCGAGGCUCAACCUCGAGACGUCGAUGGAAACCAUCUGGCUAGAGUCCGGAAGAGGAGAGUGGAAUUCCUGGUGUAGCGGUGAAAUGCGCAGAUAUCAGGAGGAACACCGGUGGCGAAGGCGGGUCUCUGGGCAGUAACUGACGCUGAGGAGCGAAAGCGUGGGGAGCGAACAGG
rnacentral:rRNA from 1 species